CACGUGUAUAUCAUAUGUCAAGAUAGUGGCUUAGAUACUUGCGCAUUUUUGUUUUGAAGAGUAGGCUUUUGUUAAACGCUACAACAGCAUACAUACAGAUACAUAUUGGCUUAGCAUUGGCGUAUGUGUGUGCACAUACACAAACGUAAACUUGCUUAAAAAUAACAGGCUGAACUUAAGAAUGACCAACACACUUUUUUUGGGGGGGGGAGAAAAUAACACAGUAGAAAUACUAGUUGCUAGGGUAUGUGUUUCAGAUCAUUACAUACUGUAGUCGAAGAGUUGUGACACAUACAGAUGAAUGAGUUAGGCAUAUCUGAGGGUUUACAGGCUAUAGUUGUAUAGGAUUAUAUUUAUAGGUAUGAAUAGUCAUGUAAAUCUAGCAACUCACUGCUGUA